rnacentral:rRNA from 1 species
CCUACGGGAGGCAGCAGUGGGGAAUAUUGCACAAUGGGGGGAACCCUGAUGCAGCGACGCCGCGUGAGUGAAGAAGUAUUUCGGUAUGUAAAGCUCUAUCAGCAGGGAAGAAAAUGACGGUACCUGACUAAGAAGCCCCGGCUAACUACGUGCCAGCAGCCGCGGUAAUACGUAGGGGGCAAGCGUUAUCCGGAUUUACUGGGUGUAAAGGGAGCGCAGACGGCUGUGCAAGUCUGGAGUGAAAGGCGGGGGCCCAACCCCCGGACUGCUCUGGAAACUGUAAAGCUGGGGUGCAGGAGAGGUAAGCGGAAUUCCUAGUGUAGCGGUGAAAUGCGUAGAUAUUAGGAGGAACACCAGUGGCGAAGGCGGCUUACUGGACUGCAACUGACGUUGAGGCUCGAAAGCGUGGGGAGCAAACAGGAUUAGAUACCCGAGUAGUC